rnacentral:rRNA from 1 species
UGGGGAAUCUUGCGCAAUGGGCGAAAGCCUGACGCAGCGACGCCGCGUGAGGGAAGAAGGCCUUCGGGUUGUAAACCUCUUUCAGGAGGGACGAAGCCACUCGGGUUAAUAGCCCAGAGGGUGACGGUACCUCCAGAAGAAGCCCCGGCUAACUACGUGCCAGCAGCCGCGGUAAUACGUAGGGGGCGAGCGUUGUCCGGAUUUAUUGGGCGUAAAGAGCGUGUAGGCGGCCAGGUAGGUCUGCUGUGAAAACUCGAGGCUCAACCUCGAGACGUCGGCGGAAACCAUCUGGCUAGAGUCCGGAAGAGGAGAGUGGAAUUCCUGGUGUAGCGGUGAAAUGCGCAGAUAUCAGGAAGAACACCCGUGGCGAAGGCGGCUCUCUGGGACGGUACUGACGCUGAGACGCGAAAGCGUGGGGAGCGAACAGG